CUGCUGCCUUCCGUAGGAGUCUGGGCCGUGUCUCAGUCCCAGUGUGGCCGGCCACCCUCUCAGGCCGGCUACCCCAUCGUCGCCUUGGUAGGCCAUUACCCUACCAACUAGCUAAUGGGACGCGAGUCCAUCUUUCAGCGUCAGGUCUCCCCAACUUUUCCUAUAUAAACAUGCACUUAUAUAACUCAUCCGGCAUUAGCUCACCUUUCGGUAAGUUGUUCCAGUCUAAAAGGCAGGUCACUCACGUGUUACUCA
rnacentral:rRNA from 1 species